rnacentral:rRNA from 1 species
UACAGAGGGCUCAAGCGUUGUUCGGAUUCAUUGGGCGUAAAGGGCGCGUAGGCGGUGGGGUAAGUCUGGUGUGAAAUCUCGGAGCUCAACUUCGAAAUUGCACUGGAUACUGCUCUGCUAGAGGGCUGGAGAGGAGAUCGGAAUUCACGGUGUAGCAGUGAAAUGCGUAGAUAUCGUGAGGAAGACCAGUGGCGAAGGCGGAUCUCUGGACAGCUCCUGACGCUGAGGCGCGAAAGCGUGGGGAGCAAACAGG